GCGCCCGUAGCUCAAUUGGAUAGAGCGUUCGACUACGGAUCAAAAGGUUAGGGGUUCGACUCCUCUCGGGCGCGCCA
rnacentral:tRNA from 2 species